rnacentral:lncRNA from 1 species
UUUUCACAAAAGCACUGAGCGUAGACAGCAUUAUCAUCCCUAGCAAACAGAUGAAAGCCAGCCCACAAAGAGUGAAUUGAGUUGAUGAAAGAGAUGCAGAAACAUUGAAAGCAAAUGAUCCUGUGCCUGUGACUGAACCCUCCUUGAUCUCCGAAGGGCAAGUGUUACACUGUUGCCCGUGUUUCAUCUGGAAAAAACAGAAGUACACAGAAGAAUGUGAUUUGUCCAAAGUCACCUCCUGUCAGGGAAGUCUUUUCCCAGUAUCAGUCAUCACUUUGCUGGGCCGGUCCAUGCCAGUCCAUGCUGGUCCAUGCCUGCCUGGUCAGGCUACAAUCUUCAUUCACAAAGAGUACACUGGGAAGUCAGAGAGACCUGGGUUCAAGUCUGAAGUAUUGAGUGACUCAGAAAAUUAUAUAACUCCCAGCUGUGCCUCAGUUUCCUAGUCUGAACAGUGGCC